CUGGAGCUACAAGUCGGGCUACUAUGAAGUAUAAAACAGUAUUUUCUUGAUAUUGAAAAUGAGAAGUUUGUUCCCAAACAGGACAUGUCGCUCUCUUAAGGAACAGAAAUGUCAAGGGUACUCUGAGAGGACUACAGGAAACUCUGAGAAACACCGGAGGAGCCAAGCCCUUAGAGGCAGGGUUUCCUAGGAAAUGUUGAUGCUAAGGCUAAACGGACCAUGACCCUUUACACACACACUGCUCACUCUUUCUCAUCGCCAUAACAAACUUGCCUUCCACUGUCUUCUACCUUUAUUAGACUUUUGUUUAUGCAGUCUUGCUUCUCCAUACGUAGUCUGGUGGAUUCCAUAGCAAAACAAACGAAGGGGUAUGUCAAGCAGAAACGUAACAGCUUGUUUUAACCAUAUUAUGAGGUCAUAAAGGCCCUACAGCCCAGGAUGAGGCAAACUCAAUAAAUAGUUGCCUGCCCAAUUUAAAACGGGGUUAACUCCGAAGAGGGAGUAGAAGAAAAUGAGUCAGGACAGAGGGGUGAGCUGAGCUCCUUGGCAUGGUGUCCUCACAGAACGAAACGUGGGCCAGGCAGCUCCGAUGAGCCAAACUGGUACAACAAUCUCCAAAGUAGGGCUCCGGACCUGUGGCCCAACGGACCGAGGCCGAAGGGGAGCGGCAGCCGGCGGCAGGAGAAUGGUGCAGAAGGAGAGCCAGGCGGCGCUGGAGGAGCGGGAGAGUGAGCGCAACGCCAAUCCUGCCUCCGUCUCGGGGGCUUCGUUGGAGCCGUCUGCAGCUCCGGCCCCCGGAGAAGACAACCCCUCGGGAGCUGGGGCGGCGGCCGGGACCGGGGCGGCCGGCGGGGCCCGCAGGUUCCUGUGCGGUGUAGUGGAAGGGUUUUAUGGAAGACCUUGGGUUAUGGAGCAGAGAAAAGAGCUCUUUAGAAGGCUUCAGAAAUGGGAAUUAAAUACAUACUUGUAUGCUCCGAAGGAUGACUACAAACAUAGGAUGUUUUGGCGAGAGAUGUAUUCAGUGGAAGAAGCUGAGCAACUUAUGACUCUCAUCUCUGCUGCACGAGAAUAUGAGAUAGAAUUCAUCUAUGCUAUUUCUCCAGGAUUAGAUAUCACUUUUUCUAACCCAAAGGAAGUAUCAACAUUGAAACGCAAAUUGGACCAGGUAAUUUUUUAUUUUUCUUUAUUUCAAUAUGGAAGUGGAGGGUUUUGGGGGAUUUUUGUUUGUUUUGCUCUAUAUGUUGAAAGGAACUGUUACUUUCAUAGUUUUGUAGCUGUUACUUUCAUAGUUUUGUAUAGAGAAAUAGUUGUCAAUCAAAAACUUGGAAGGACCUGUACUCACAUUUCUCUUCACACACAGCUCUCAGGAGAGUGGACUUGGUGUAAUAGUAGAGAUUUGCCUAGCAUGUGUUAGGUACUAGAUUCAAGUCCCAGCAUCAAGCCUCUGCAGCUUAAAAGUAAUGCUGGCUACUAGGCUCCACUUGAACUCUUUUGUUUGUUUGUUUGUUUGUUUGUUUGUAAGAAUUAUUUAUAUGAGCACCCUGUUGCUGUCUUCAGGCACAUCAGAAGAGGGUAUCAGUUCUGAUACAGAUGGUUGUGAGUCACCAUGUGGUUGCUGGGAAUUGAACUCAGGACCUCUGGAAGAGCAGUCAGUGCUCCUAACCUCUGAGCCCUCUCUCUAGCCACUCUAUUCAGAUUCUUAACACCUAACUUGCAGUAACUGUAUUUUUGAGAGUGUAGGAUCCCCAGUUUCUCAAUGGUUUGCAUAUUUUAUUCUUUAAUCAAAGAUUUAUACUAGUGGCAUCAUGUAGCUAGUAAGACUUACAGAAGCUGGGCAUGGUAACUCAAAAUUCCAGCAUUUGAGAAGCUGAAGCAGGGGAAUUGCUAAGAUUUUGAGGCCAGCCUGGCCUACAGUCUGAUAUUAUUCUUUAAAAAAAAACAGGGUUCUGCGAGAUGAGUCCGUGGGUAAGAGCACUGGCUGCUCUUCUAAAGCACACAGAUUCAAUUCCCAGCACCACACAGGAGCUCACAACUGUUAACUCCAGUUCCAGGAGAG
rnacentral:lncRNA from 14 species